GAUCUGAUAGCACAGAGGGUUAGUGCAUCUGCUGGAAAUUGUCCUCGUAAAUUUCCGUUAAGCAGAAGACCCUCGUUCGAUCCGGGGUCAGGUCA